GGUUAAGCGACUAAGCGUACACGGUGGAUGCCCUGGCAGUCAGAGGCGAUGAAGGACGUGCUAAUCUGCGAUAAGCGUCGGUGAGGUGAUAUGAACCGUUAUAACCGGCGAUUUCCGAAUGGGGAAACCCAGUGUGUUUCGACACACUAUCAUUAACUGAAUCCAUAGGUUAAUGAGGCGAACCGGGGGAACUGAAACAUCUAAGUACCCCGAGGAAAAGAAAUCAACCGAGAUUCCCCCAGUAGCGGCGAGCGAACGGGGAGGAGCCCAGAGCCUGAAUCAGUGUGUGUGUUAGUGGAAGCGUCUGGAAAGGCGUGCGAUACAGGGUGACAGCCCCGUACACAAAAAUGCACAUAUUGUGAGCUCGAUGAGUAGGGCGGGACACGUGGUAUCCUGUCUGAAUAUGGGGGGACCAUCCUCCAAGGCUAAAUACUCCUGACUGACCGAUAGUGAACCAGUACCGUGAGGGAAAGGCGAAAAGAACCCCGGCGAGGGGAGUGAAAAAGAACCUGAAACCGUGUACGUACAAGCAGUGGGAGCCUCUUAAUGGGGUGACUGCGUACCUUUUGUAUAAUGGGUCAGCGACUUAUAUUCUGUAGCAAGGUUAACCGAAUAGGGGAGCCGAAGGGAAACCGAGUCUUAACUGGGCGUUAAGUUGCAGGGUAUAGACCCGAAACCCGGUGAUCUAGCCAUGGGCAGGUUGAAGGUUGGGUAACACUAACUGGAGGACCGAACCGACUAAUGUUGAAAAAUUAGCGGAUGACUUGUGGCUGGGGGUGAAAGGCCAAUCAA
rnacentral:rRNA from 1 species